CCUACGGGUGGCAGCAGUGAGGAAUAUUGGUCAAUGGACGAGAGUCUGAACCAGCCAAGUAGCGUGAAGGAUGACUGCCCUAUGGGUUGUAAACUUCUUUUAUAUGGGAAUAAAAUGUUCCACGUGUGGGAUUUUGUAUGUACCAUAUGAAUAAGGAUCGGCUAACUCCGUGCCAGCAGCCGCGUUAAUACGGAGGAUCCGAGCGUUAUCCGGAUUUAUUGGGUUUAAAGGGAGCGUAGGUGGAUUGUUAAGUCAGUUGUGAAAGUUUGCGGCUCAACCGUAAAAGUGCAGUUGAAACUGGCAGUCUUGAGUACAGUAGAGGUGGGCGGAAUUCGUGGUGUAGCGGUGAAAUGCUUAGAUAUCACGAAGAACUCCGAUUGCGAAGGCAGUUCACUGGACUGCAACUGACACUGAGGCUCGAAAGUGUGGGUAUCAAACAGGAUUAGAUACCCUGGUAGUC
rnacentral:rRNA from 1 species